GUAGCCGUGUGCCUUGUGAGAAUUUGCAGGAGAAGCCCCCUGAAGUCUCCAUCUUUCCUGCCUCAUCAGUGCUAGUCUGUAGAGGGUACUGGGCUCUCAGCAACCCCUCAGUGCUGUGCAGUUGAAGGUCAGUCUCCUCCUGAUCACUGUUUACAGACCAGAAUAUCUGGUUUUGGUCCAGAUCUCAAAGGUGCCCUGGAGCCUGGGCUGGGGACCAUCACUCUGCUGUCUGUCUCCCAGUGGAGUCCCAGGAUGGCCUCCACAAUCCUGAGUCAUGGCUUAGCAUUCCUCUCCCCUGGCUUCCCCAGACUGCCUUGGCUCAGGCAUGCUGGCAUUUCCCUCUGGUGGUUAUGUGAGAGUCAGUAAGGCGAAGGUGAGCCUUCUCCAUCUCUGAGUGGUUAUAGCCACACCCAGUCUCCCAAGAGCUUGCAGGAUGUUGGCCAGGGUGUACAGAGGUGUGUCCAGGACACUGAGACCUGUCAUGUGCCUCAGUCAUCCAGGUGCUGCUCCUCCCAGGUGGACGUGGGGAUGGCACUGUAGGGGUCCAUGAUGACUUUGGCACAGCGGAUGAUCAUGACUACGAGGAAGAGGCAAAGGAAAACGAAGCAAGCCAAGCCAUCCCUGGGCCACUGACCUGCCAGCUGGAGUGAUCACCACUUCAGGAAGACCCUGGGUUGAGCUGUUCCAGGAGACAAGAUGGACGGACAGCUGAGCAUCACAGCUGGAGCCAGCGAGUCAGCGCGGCUUCUCAGAGAGCAGAGCUGUAG
rnacentral:lncRNA from 1 species